rnacentral:lncRNA from 1 species
GGAUAUGAGACGUACCGUCUGUGUGAGAUUUAUUUAUGCGAAUUCAAUCCAACCUUUAGAUGAUAAAAAGGAAUACCAAUAACUGUACGUCAAAACUCUCCUAAUUAGUCCUUGAAGGGUAGGUGAAAAUUUAUCAUGCAUGUUUAGCAGCCAUAGUUGACCAAUUGAAAAUAUUAGGUGACGUGAUAACGAGAGGCUGAAUAUGAUACCCACACCAUGAUUUUUGGCCACUCUAUUAAUAGUCAAUAAAUUUCAAAUGAGCUAGCGGUACAAUUUCAAGCCAAGGUAGGCGAAUCUGCUUUGGAUUGUAGAGAAAUAUUUUAUGUCGGGGACCGGAAGAAAAUGGAACGUAAGGAAAUGAUAAUAUUAAUAUAUAAAGAUAACAUAAUAUAAUGAAAGAAAUAAAUAUAAAAUUCCUUCCUUUGUCUUAAUGGUUAAAAGAAAACAAUGAUGAGAGAAUAAAUCACAGUAAAUCUCAUCAUAACCAAAAUAUCAGAUGUAGAAUAUUACAAUUUACAAUAAAUAAAUUGGCCUAAAAAUAAGGCUAAAUCUUAUCAGCACCUUUAAAUUUCAAAGUGUGGCUUGCUUCAUCUGUCUCAUCUUGUUUUGCUUAUAUAAAGGUGACAAAAAAAAGGAAAAAAAUUAUGGGGAGAAAAAAGGAAAGAGGAGGGUACGGUAGAGUUUUUACAGAAAGAGAGGAAAAUACAAAUGGCUGGUUUUCUUUGUUGAAAAGAAAGCACAGAGACUCAGACAAAGCAAAAUGAUGGUGGCCAACAAAAAAGAAAGGAAAAGACGCUAGCCAAAAGAAAAAUGAGUAAAAAAAUAUUUAAAAAAUGGAAAAAAGGACUAGCACCUCUUCGUAGCUUGCGGUAGCCUAUUUGUUUGUUUUCUCCUUUUGCAUGCGAAAGCUCUGUACCAAUUGUGACUUUUUGUGUAGUCUUUUAAAGGCUUAAGAGAUAUAUAGUGAUUGUUCUCAAUUUGGAUUGGUCACAAGUAUUCCAAAUAAAUAGGGGAAUGCAAGGUUUGGUUUUACUUGGAAAUAAAUUCUAGAAGAGUUGAAUAGCUAUUGAGUUGGCUUCAAUCAGCUGCUGGGU